rnacentral:rRNA from 1 species
GCCGCGGGUAGGACAGAGUUUGAUCAUGGCUAGAAUGAGCUCGGCGUGUCUUAGCAUGCAGUCGAGCGGAGAAAGCGUGCGCUGAGAGCGGCGGACUGGUGAGUAACGCGUGGGUAAUCUACCUUUGGCAUGGGGAUAGCCACAAAAAAUAGUGGGUAAUACCGAAUACGUUCCCUGGGGGGAGAUUUCAGGGAAGAAAGGGUGCUACGGCACCGGCCGGAGAUGAGCUCGCGUCCCAUUAGCUAGUUGGUGAGGUAACGGCCCACCAAGGCGAUGAUGGGUAGCCGGCCUGAGAGGGUGUACGGCCACACUGGGACUGAGAUACGGCCCAGACUCCUACGGGAGGCAGCAGCUAAGAAUAUUCCGCAAUGGACGAUUGUCUGACGGAGCGACGCCGCGUGGAUGAUGAGGGCCGAAAGGUUGUAAAGUCCUUUUGCUGGGGAAGAAUAAGUGUGGGAGGGAAUGCCCGCAUGAUGACUUGAUCCGGCGAAUAAGCCCCCGGCCAACCACGUGCCAGCAGCCGCGGUAAACACGUAGGGGGGCGAGCGUUGUUCGGGAAUUACUGGGCGUAAAGGGCAUGUUAGGCGGUCUGGGAAAGCCCUGGCGUGAAAGGGCCCAGCUCACCCUGUGGGAAUUGCGUUUGGGAACCUUGCUGGGCCUUGAGUUUAUGGGAGAAGGGAAGCCUUAGAUUUCCUGGGGGUAGGGGUGAAAAUCCUGGAAAAUAUCCGGGAGGAAUACCGGUUGCGCGAAGGCCAGCCUCCUGGCCCAAU